rnacentral:rRNA from 1 species
CCUACGGGUGGCAGCAGUCGAGAAUCAUUCACAAUGGGGGAAACCCUGAUGGUGCGACGCCGCGUGGGGGAAUGAAGGUCUUCGGAUUGUAAACCCCUGUCAUGUGGGAGCAAAUUAAAAAGAUAGUACCACAAGAGGAAGAGACGGCUAACUCUGUGCCAGCAGCCGCGGUAAUACAGAGGUCUCAAGCGUUGUUCGGAAUCACUGGGCGUAAAGGGUUCGUAGGCUGUUUCGUAAGUCUGGUGUGAAAGGCGCGGGCUCAACCCGCGGACGGCACAUGAUACUGCGAGACUAGAGUAAUGGAGGGGGAACCGGAAUUCUCGGUGUAGCAGUGAAAUGCGUAGAUAUCGAGAGGAACACUCGUGGCGAAGGCGGGUUCCUGGACAUUAACUGACGCUGAGGCACGAAGGCCAGGGGAGCGAAAGGGAUUAGAUACCCUUGUAGUC